rnacentral:sRNA from 1 species
AGCACGAGUCUGCCCGUCCUCCACGAUGAA